rnacentral:misc_RNA from 1 species
GAUGAAGAACGUAGUGAAAUGUGAUACUUGGUGUGAAUUGCAGAAUCCCGUGAACCAUCGAGUCUUUGAACGCAAGUUGCGCCCGAAGCCAUUAGGCCGAGGGCACGCCUGCCUGGGCGUCACACGUCGUUGCCCCCCCAUCUACUCCUUCGGGAUUGCGGGGGGCGGAUGAUGGCCUCCCGUGCGCCUCGCCGCGCGGUUGGCAUAAAUGCCAAGUCCUCGGCGACGCACGCCACGACAAUCGGUGGUUGCGAAACCUCGGUUGCCCGUCGUGUGCGGUCGUCGCGCAUCGAGGGCUCGAAAAAAUUGCCGGGUUCCGGCUCGGCUUUCAACGCGACCCCAGGUCAGGCGGGGUUACCCGCUGAAUUUAAGCAUAUCAAUAAGCGGAGGA